rnacentral:rRNA from 1 species
CCUACGGGAGGCAGCAGUGAGGAAUAUUGGUCAAUGGACGAGAGUCUGAACCAGCCAAGUAGCGUGAAGGAUGACUGCCCUAUGGGUUGUACACCUCUUUUACAAAGGAAUAAAACGACGCACGUGUCCCUUUCUGCAUGUACUUUAUGAAUAAGGAUCGGCUAACUCCGUGCCAGCAGCCGCGGUAAUACGGAGGAUCCGAGCGUUAUCCGGAUUUAUUGGGUUUAAAGGGAGCGUAGAUGGGUUGUUAAGUCAGUUGUGAAAGUUUGGGGCUCAACCGUAAAAGUGCAGUUGAUACUGGCAGUCUUGAGUACGGUUGAGGUAGGCGGAAUGCGCGGUGUAGCGGUGAAAUGCUUAGAUAUCACGAAGAACCCCGAUUGCGAAGGCAGCUUACUAAGCUGUGACUGACAUUGAUGCUCGAAAGUGUGGGUAUCGAACAGGAUUAGAUACCCCGGUAGUC